GCGACCCCAGGUCAGACGGGACUACCCGCUGAGUUUAAGCAUAUAAAUAAGCGGAGGAGAAGAA
rnacentral:rRNA from 1 species